rnacentral:lncRNA from 1 species
GGGAGAUCAGGUGACUCCGGGCUUCCAGCGUUUGAGGCGCUGGUGACGUCAGGCGCGCUGCUGCGGCUCAGUGGCUCGCGGCAGGUGCGGCUCUGUUCCCGGAGCCGGGUCCAGUCUUCUUCGGUCGAGACCGGGUCAGUAACCGGCCGCCGCGCGGAGCAGAGAGAAAGACUGAAAGGAGGUGCAGGAGAAAGACUCACGGAGCUAGCACAGCUUACAUAAAGUUUCCAGUCGUACACACACCGCUUUGCCUACAGGAGACAUUUACCAGGACAUUCCAUCUGACCUGGGUGCAAACGCCUGGCUACAGCCAUCUCUGCUGCAGUGCCUGCCGUAUGACCAACUGGCACUCCCAGCUCGGCCUCAGGACAUGCCCACUGAGCACAGAAUACCUGACUGAUUCCAAAGUGGGAAGGUGUGAGAAUUCUCAAAGCAGAUUCCCUCAAAGGGGUGACAGGGACAGUGGCAACACCAACAACAGCCGUGAGGCUCCUGAUUGGUUAGAGAUCCACCAUCUAGAAGAUGCUAUUGGAAGAUUUACCAUCUCCAGGCUCACAGGCUAUGAUGUGAAGCUCUAGAAGGCCUUCCUUCGGACUUGCUCCUGGGCUAAUUCCUGCUGCUUUGAUUAACUAGAAAACAAGAAAGAGGGAUGUAGGAGACCUACAGAUCCCACCCCCCUAGCCUCUGUGACAGGCAGGGGGAGUCAGAAGGACUUUGGGAGACUAGACUGUCCUCUGGAAAUGGAUGCCUUGGGCAUCUUUUCAACCUCCAGCAGUCUGGGAAGAACAAGCUCGAAGUCUCUAAGUCCCCAGGUUUCCAGGAAUUUGAAAUUUAGACCUGGCAGGAGUGACCUUGGCUGAUCUGGAGAGGCAGGCAGUGAAGGAAGCAGGAUUCAGCAUUUGUGUUGAUGUAGCUGAGCAAGCUCAAGGUCCACUGGUUCUCAUGGGAGACAAGGCCCUACGACUAGUGCCAGGGAGAGGGUCUUAAGGGGAAACAGGAGACUAGUGACCCGGAGCUGUCACUCAAGGAAGCUGAGGGUUGGAUGACACUGUAGUAGGCUUUUGGCUAAGUCUUGCCAUUGUGAACAACCACCCCAGUGGAUGGUAGCUGGAGACUGGGGCUGAGUGCUCUAGCAUUAAACCUGUGCCAGAUCCCUAAUAAGCCAGGGCACUCUCCUACCAAGGUAUAAAAAUAGAAAACACAUACAUAAAAGACUAGAGCUGAAGGUCUGGUGCAGAACUGGUCCAAUUCAUAAAAAUCCACAUAUUCCUGUGUUGUGGGAGUUUGAAGUCCUUACUAGUAUGGUUUUGAUGGUUGUUCUAAGCUUAAAGAAGUAGCUGCCAACUGCUACCCACUGGAGAAUAGGCCC